rnacentral:rRNA from 1 species
CCUACGGGAGGCAGCAGUGAGGAAUAUUGGUCAAUGGACGAGAGUCUGAACCAGCCAAGUAGCGUGAAGGAUGACUGCCCUAUGGGUUGUAACCUUCUUUUAUAAAGGAAUAAAACGAGGCACGUGUGCCUUUUUGCAUGUACUUUAUGAAUAAGGAUCGGCUAACUCCGUGCCAGCAGCCGCGGUAAUCCGGAGGAUCCGAGCGUUAUCCGGAUUUAUUGGGUUUAAAGGGAGCGUAGAUGGGUUGUUAAGUCAGUUGUGAAAGUUUGCGGCUCAACCGUAAAAUUGCAAUUGAUACUGGCAGUCUUGAGUACAGUUGAGGUAGGCGGAAUUCGUGGUGUAGCGGUGAAAUGCUUAGAUAUCACGAAGAACCCCGAUUGCGAAGGCAGCUUACUAAACUGUGACUGACAUUGAUGCUCGAAAGUGUGGGUAUCAAACAGGAUUAGAUACCCGUGUAGUC